rfam:Candidate division WWE3 bacterium RIFCSPLOWO2_01_FTLL_53_14 rifcsplowo2_01_scaffold_18588, whole genome shotgun sequence.
GGGCCUGUCGCCUAACGGUCAAGGCAACGGCCUUUUAAGCCGUCUAUCUGGGUUCGAUUCCCAGCAGGCCCA